UUAGGAGGCAUUCGCGGACCAGCCAUGCUAGUUGGUCGCUGGUCGAUCGAGUUUGCUGAGGCGACUCCCACGACGCAGAAAUGAGCCAGCUUAUCCUAGCUAAGCUUGGCCUAUCAGGUCUGCCGAGGAAAAAAAGCGAGAUCGGAAGAG